rnacentral:rRNA from 1 species
AGCAGCCGCGGUAAUUCCAGCUCCAAUAGCGUAUAUUAAAGUUGUUGCAGUUAAAAAGCUCGUAGUUGAAUUUCGGGGUUAGUAGGUUGGUCAUGCCUCUGGUAUGCACUGGUCUUACUGAUUCCUCCUUCCUGAUGAGCCGUAAUGCCAUUAAUUUGGUGUUGCGGGGAAUUUGGACUGUUACUUUGAAAAAAUUAGAGUGUUUAAAGCAAGCUAACGCUUGAAUACAUUAGCAUGGAAUAAUGAAAUAGGACGUUCGAUCCUAUUUUGUUGGUUUCUAGGAUUGACGUAAUGAUUAAUAGGGAUAGUUGGGGGCAUUAGUAUUCAAUUGUCAGAGGUGAAAUUCUUGGAUUUAUUGAAGACUAACUACUGCGAAAGCAUUUGCCAAGGAUGUUUUCAUUAAUCAAGAACGAAAGUUAGGGGAUCGAAGACGAUCAGAUACCGUCGUAGUCUUAACCAUAAACUAUGCCGACUAGGGAUCGGAUGAUGUUAAUUUUUAAUUGUACUCAUUCGGCGUCCG